CCUACGGGAGGCAGCAGUGGGGAAUAUUGGACAAUGGGGGCAACCCUGAUCCAGCAAUGCCGCGUGUGUGAAGAAGGCCUUCGGGUUGUAAAGCACUUUCAAUAGGGAGGAAAAGUUAUGCGUUAACAGCGUAUAGCCGUGACGUUACCUAUAGAAGAAGCACCGGCUAACUCCGUGCCAGCAGCCGCGGUAAUACGGAGGGUGCAAGCGUUAAUCGGAAUUACUGGGCGUAAAGCGCGCGUAGGCGGUUUAUUAAGUCAGAUGUGAAAGCCCCGGGCUCAACCUGGGAAUUGCAUUUGAGACUGGUAGGCUAGAGUGUGGUAGAGGUGAGUGGAAUUUCAGGUGUAGCGGUGAAAUGCGUAGAGAUCUGAAGGAACAUCAGUGGCGAAGGCGACUCACUGGGCCAUUACUGACGCUGAGGUGCGAAAGCGUGGGUAGCAAACAGGAUUAGAUACCCUGGUAGUCCACGCCCUAAACGAUGUCAACUAGGUGUAUGGAGAAUUUAUUCUUUGUGUAUCGAAGCUAACGC
rnacentral:rRNA from 1 species